rnacentral:rRNA from 1 species
UACGGAGGGUGCAAGCGUUAUCCGGAUUCACUGGGUUUAAAGGGUGCGUAGGUGGGCUAGUAAGUCCGUGGUGAAAUCUCCGAGCUUAACUCGGAAACUGCCGUGGAUACUAUUGGUCUUGAAUGUUGUGGAGGUAAGCGGAAUAUGUCAUGUAGCGGUGAAAUGCUUAGAUAUGACAUAGAACACCGAUAGCGAAGGCAGCUUGCUACACAAUAAUUGACACUGAGGCACGAAAGCGUGGGGAUCAAACAGG